rnacentral:rRNA from 1 species
GAAGAACGAGGGCGGAGGGAGGAACACAGGCAAGUCGAACGGAAAGGCCUGCUUUCCCUUGUGGAUUGCGGGUACUCGAGUGGCGAACGGGUGAGUAACACGUGAGUGAUCUGCCCCCAACUUGGGUAUAAGCCUGGGAAACUGGGUCUAAUUCCCGAUAGGACUGCAGGGUGGUGCCUGUGGUGGAAAACGAUUUUCUAGUGGUUGGGGAUGAGCUCGCGGCCUAUCAGCUUGUUGGUGGGGUAAUGGCCGACCAAGGCGGCGACGGGUAGCCGGCCUGAGAGGGUUGACGGCCACAUUGGGACUGAGAUACGGCCCAGACUCCUACGGGAGGCAGCAGUGGGGAAUAUUGCACAAUGGGCGGAAGCCUGAUGCAGCGACGCCGCGUGGGGGAUGACGGCCUUCGGGUUGUAAACUCCUUUCGACCGCGAGGAAGCCACCUGGUUGGAAGGGUGGUGACGGUAGUGGUAGAAGAAGCACCGGCUACCUACGUG